GUGAGAUUCUACUGGCUGCCUUUCAUGAUGUGUUCCAGAAGAGUGCAGGUUCCAGCGUGUGAGGUGAGGGAGUACACUCUGUAUCAGGAUGAGAGACGUUUGCCCCAACUCAACAAAGAACUCACUCAAGGACGCUGCGGAGGAAAGCGCGUGGGCAGGGGUUCGUGAAUCUGAUGCCGACGCAGUGAUAUCUGAGCCCUCUCAUUCUCACUGCAGCAGCCUCGGGGUGUUCAGAAGAUGCCGACGCUAAUUCCAUGACCUCUUUGACGUCCCACGGUUACAUAAGCGCCUCCUCCACAAAUGGGCGCCCUCCAGAGAGCAGGAGAAAGGACAAAAACACAUACCUGAGACACCCAGACAGGAUAAUUACCGUACCCUUAUGGAUAUGUAUUUGUUUAUUCAUACAUUUAUUCAGCACAUUUCCUGAUAACUCUUUUGUGAAAAUACAUUAAUAAUAUAAUGAACAAAAGAAGAAAAUAUUCAUUCUCAUGGGCUUUUCUCUACUGAAAUUAUUGAAUCACAUUAAGUAUACCAAGGUUGGAUUUCCCUGAACACUGUGGCAUUUUUUCUAAGCUGGGGUGUGUUUGUUAGCCUCCUACCCUCUUUGUACCUUUUCUUCUUCUUUGUUGAGCACCAGAGUCCUUUACAGGUAAGCUAACAAAUGCAAAGGAUCAGUAUCCAAUCCGAGGGACACACACAUCAGGUCUCUUACUCACAUCAAGCUUUACUAAUAACGUCCAAUGACUAAGACCAGAUGGUGAGGGGAGAUGUGUAGAUACAACAGAUUCCCGGCACCGGGGCUUUUUCAGACAGAAGUGAUGCUCUGUGACCCGCAAUCACCCUUGACGUCAGCACAGCCACUGGUGGAUGCUGCAGCUCCAGACAGCACCUCUGGAGAGAAGGAUGGAAAGCGAGGCCCAGCCCUAUGGUUCCAUGUGCUACAAGGCAGCUUCCUCCCUCGGACACCCUGCGGGAUGCUGCUUCUACCCCUGCAACAUUAAAUGUGUUACACAGCACAGAAGAGGCAGAGAAAUUAAAUUAUCUCUGGGAUGAGAAAUAAUGUUUCCCUGAAUAAAUUAUAUUUUGAUUAUGAAUAAAAAGGGGA
rnacentral:lncRNA from 1 species